rnacentral:rRNA from 1 species
AGAGCGAACGCUGGCGGCAGGCCUAACACAUGCAAGUCGAGCGCCCGUAGCAAUACGGGAGCGGCAGACGGGAUAGUAACACGUGGGAACGCGCCCUUCGGUUCGGAAUAACUCAGGGAAACUUGAGCUAAUACCGAAUACGCCCUUACGGGGAAAGAUUUAUUGCCGAAGGAACGGCCCGCGUCCGAUUAGCUAGUUGGUGAGGUAAUGGCUCACCAAGGCUACGAUCGGUAGCU